rnacentral:rRNA from 1 species
AUUGAACGCUGGCGGCAUGCCUUACACAUGCAAGUCGAACGGUAACGGGCCUUCGGGUGCCGACGAGUGGCGAACGGGCGAGUAAUAUAUCGGAACGUACCUUUCAGUGGGGGAUAACGUAGCGAAAGUUACGCUAAUACCGCAUAUUCUGUGCGCAGGAAAGCAGGGGACCUUCGGGCCUUGCGCUGAUUGAGCGGCCGAUAUCAGAUUAGCUAGUUGGUGAGGUAAAGGCUCACCAAGGCGACGAUCUGUAGCGGGUCUGAGAGGAUGAUCCGCCACACUGGAACUGAGACACGGUCCAGACUCCUCCGGGAGGCAGCAGUGGGGAAUUUUGGACAAUGGGGGCAACCCUGAUUCAGCCAUGCCGCGUGAGUGAAGAAGGCCUUCGGGUUGUAAAGCUCUUUCGGCCGGGAAGAAAUCGUAUGGGCUAAUACCCUGUGCGGAUGACGGUACCGGCAUAAGAAGCACCGGCUAACUACGUGCCAGCCGCCGCCGUAA